CCCUUAGAUGUCCUGGGCUGCACGCGCGCUACACUGACACUAUCAACGAGUGCUCCUGGUUUGAAAGGAUCGGGUAAUCUUUUGAAAUGGUGUCGUGAUGGGGAUAGAUCAUUGCAAUUAUUGAUCUUGAACGAGGAAUUCCUAGUAAAUGUGAGUCAUCAGCUCACGUUGAUUACGUCCCUGCCCUUUGUACACACCGCCCGUCGCUCCUACCGAUUGAGUGAACCGAUGAGUAGUCCGGAUUGCGAUCGACCUCGGUUAAUCGCGAGAAGUUCCGCAAAUCACUUCACUUAGAGGAAGGAGAAGUCGUAACA
rnacentral:rRNA from 1 species